rnacentral:tRNA from 1 species
GGUGGCUCAGUGGGUAGAGUGCUUGCCUUGCAUGCAUGAGGCCCUGGGUUCAAUUCCUCAGCACCA